UAAAAAGUGAUCUGUUGAUUUGAACAUGGU
rnacentral:piRNA from 1 species